GGGGAUUUGAAGCACAGGUGGGCUUGGUAAGGACCCACCAGUGGGAACCUAGGGGGCUGGGUGGAGAGAUUGUGGAGUUCUGAGUCAGAGUCUCCAUGAGAUAAAACAAGUUGACCAAUGCCUGACCAGACCACUGGGGCAGAGAGUUGCUGGCACAAGCAUGGGAACGUGUCAGUUCUUUUUUAAUAUUUCCCACAACAAAUAUAUAUCCUGAUUACAGUUUCCCCUCCCUCUACCCCCCUCCCCGUUCCUCCCUGAAUUUCAGGGUUCAGACUACAAACUGCUUCUGUGUGACUAAGAGAAGAAGAAUCAGAGUAAAGAGAAACAUACUCUCUUAAUCUCCGAAGAUUAACGGCAGGAGGAGCUCUAGAAUUUCACAAAGGUGCUGUCAGGACACAUGAAAAUCUAGAGAAAAAGACCAGCUUGAAGAGACCAAAAAGAAGAAAGCCUGCCAAUCACAUCCUCCAGAGAUUCUGAGACACACACACCCCUGGUGUAGGGGGACACCAUCUGAAAGGUGACACCCAUUCUACGGAAUAUAAGUACCAGCUAAAGAGGACACACACUUGAAGAAAAAGGAGACAAUGAGGUCUUGUGAAUGCUCUAAUUUUUCAAAGCUUACUUUUAAUGAUGGUUCUUAAACGCUUUAACCUCCCUUCUAGUCCACCACCCACCAAAGGUAGUGAAAAGAAAGGUGAUUAGGAUACAGGCGAAGUGAACCUGUUCAGACAUGGUUCUUUGGUGCACAACCUAGCAGGAACAUCCAGGUCUCAGUGGAAUCAGCUCAAAUCAGCAUGAAGAAUUAGGACCAUUAGGAGUUCCAGGAGAAGCUCUCAGCUCUGCCUCUCUGGACAAAUCGAUGAUCAGGAAAGACAAAAGCGCGAGAA